GAUGAACGCUGGCGGCGUGCCUAAUACAUGCAAGUCGAGCGAACAGACGAGGAGCUUGCUCCUCUGACGUUAGCGGCGGACGGGUGAGUAACACGUGGAUAACCUACCUAUAAGACUGGGAUAACUUCGGGAAACCGGAGCUAAUACCGGAUAAUAUAUUGAACCGCAUGGUUCAAUAGUGAAAGACGGUUUUGCUGUCACUUAUAGAUGGGUCCGCGCCGCAUUAGCUAGUUGGUAAGGUAACGGCCUACCAAGGCAACGAUGCGUAGCCGACCUGAGAGGGUGAUCGGCCACACUGGAACUGAGACACGGUCCAGACUCCUACGGGAGGCAGCAGUAGGGAAUCUUCCGCAAUGGGCGAAAGCCUGACGGAGCAACGCCGCGUGAGUGAUGAAGGUCUUCGGAUCGUAAAACUCUGUUAUUAGGGAAGAACAAAUGUGUAAGUAACUAUGCACGUCUUGACGGUACCUAAUCAGAAAGCCACGGCUAACUACGUG
rnacentral:rRNA from 1 species